rnacentral:piRNA from 1 species
UGGUAUCUUCACCCCUGGGGCCACAUU